CACGUAGGGUGCGAGCGUUGUCCGGAAUUAUUGGGCGUAAAGAGCUCGUAGGCGGUGUGUCGCGUCGGCCGUGAAAACCUGCAGCUUAACUGUGGGCUUGCGGUCGAUACGGGCAUCACUGGAGUUCGGCAGGGGGAGACUGGAAUUCCUGGUGUAGACGGUGAAAUGCGCAGAUAUCGAGGAGGAACACCCGUGGCGGAAGG
rnacentral:rRNA from 1 species